UGAGUAGCACAGAUGAUCGCGCCUAUUAGUUGCCGAAAGGCCUUAGGUGAGGAAAGUCCGGGCUUCAUAGGGCAGGGUGCCAGAUAACGUCUGGUGGAGGCGACUCCAAGGCUAGUGCAACAGAAAUAUACCGCCAAUUUAUUGGUAAGGGUGGAAAGGUGAUGUAAGAGAUCACCGCCUGGUUGGUAACAAACAGGGCAUAUGUAAACCCCACUCGAAGCAAGACCGAAUUAUAAGCGAUACGGCUGCCCGUCGUGCUUAUGGGUAGGUCGCUAGAGCCUAGUGGCGACGCUAGGCCAAGAUAGAUGAUCAUUUAAUACAGAACUCGGCUUAUAGUGUUACUCAACCU
rnacentral:RNase_P_RNA from 1 species